ACAGCAGUCGCCGCGGUAAUACGAAGGGUGCAAGCGUUAAUCGGAAUUACCGGGCGUAAAGCGUGCGUAGGCGGUGAGUUAAGUCUGCUGUGAAAGCCUGGAGCUCAACUCCAGAAUUGCCUUUAAGACUGCCGAGCUAGCAGGUGAGAGAGGUAAGUGGAAUUCCGAGUGUAGAGGUGAAAUUCGUAGAUAUUGGGAAGAACACCGGUGGCGAAGGCGGCGACCUGGUCCUUUACUGACGCUGAGGCGCGAAAGCGUGGGGAGCAAACAGGAUUAGAUACCCCGGUAGUCCCUGUCUCUUAUAC
rnacentral:rRNA from 1 species